AGAGUUUGAUCCUGGCUCAGGAUGAACGCUAGCGACAGGCCUAACACAUGCAAGUCGAGGGGCAGCGAGGAUGUAGCAAUACAUUUGUCGGCGACCGGCGCACGGGUGAGUAACGCGUAUGCAACCUACCCGACACAGGGGGAUAACCCGGAGAAAUUCGGACUAAUACCGCAUAAAACAGGGGUUCCGCAUGGGACUAUUUGUUAAAGGUUUAUCGGUGUCGGAUGGGCAUGCGUUCCAUUAGAUAGUUGGUGAGGUAACGGCUCACCAAGUCGACGAUGGAUAGGGGUUCUGAGAGGAAGGUCCCCCACAUUGGUACUGAGACACGGACCAAACUCCUACGGGAGGCAGCAGUGAGGAAUAUUGGUCAAUGGGCGGAAGCCUGAACCAGCCAAGUCGCGUGAAGGAAGACGGUCCUAUGGAUUGUAAACUUCUUUUGUCGGGGAGUAAAGGCGACUACGAGUAGUUGUUUGCAAGUACCCGAAGAAAAAGCAUCGGCUAACUCCGUGCCAGCAGCCGCGGUAAUACGGAGGAUGCGAGCGUUAUCCGGAUUUAUUGGGUUUAAAGGGUGCGUAGGCGGCAAUUUAAGUCAGUGGUGAAAUCACAAAGCUCAACUUUGUAACUGCCAUUGAAACUGGAUAGCUUGAGUACGGUAGAAGUGUGCGGAAUGCGUAGUGUAGCGGUGAAAUGCAUAGAUAUUACGCAGAACCCCGAUUGCGAAGGCAGCACACCGGGCCGCAACUGACGCUGAAGCACGAAAGCGUGGGUAUCGAACAGGAUUAGAUACCCUGGUAGUCC
rnacentral:rRNA from 1 species